rnacentral:lncRNA from 1 species
UUUCUUCUUGUAUAAAGAUUUUAAAGACUAUUCUUAUUUGAGUAAGAACAUAUUCUGGUUUUUGCACAUAUGCGCAUAAAGUUAUUUUUGUACAUUAAAAUUUUAUUGUGCACUAAAGUGAGACUCUGAGUUGAACUUAUAAUAAGUUCAUACGGUUGUAACUCAUAAAGUUAUUUGAUUAAGGAAUUCGUACUUUUGAUACAUAGANACGAGAUUGGGCGUACGAAAAUACAAAGCCCGGGGAAGGAUGAGCGAGCGGAAAGAACCAGUCUGAAAAAGGAAAAUCUUCUAUCUGCACAUUUUUAUAUUUAUAUUUAUAUUAAUUAAUAAUAUAUAUAUAUAUAUAUAUAUAUAUAUUUAUAUAAUACUAAUUUUUGACAUUAUUUCGGAGGCCACGUAGCGUUUCCUCAAUCUCCCUCCUCUCUCUCUCUCUCUCUCUCUCUCCUGCGGCCAAUUUUCUUACACGCAUGUUGGACUCCCCUCUCGCUCUCUCCCUCUCCCUCCCCGAACCUCUUUCUAUCCCUACCUUUUCCUUAGACGUCCCCUCGAUAUCGCCGCCUCUCUUUCUCUCACUGACUCUCUCCCUCUCUUCCUCCCCUUCUUUUUUUCUCCCUCCCUCUCUCAGUCUUCCUUUUCCCACUCCCCAAGUGUCUACUCAACUCCUCCGAUAGCUCUUUCUCUUUUACAUGCGUCUUUUUCGAUGACGAUCUCCAUGAUCUCCCUAUUGCCUUUCAUAUCUACCCGAUUGCCCUGAUUCGCGAUCAGAUGACUCGGAUUACUCUAUUCGGCAAUCGAACCGCUGACGGUGCCUUUGUUGUUAAUCGAACAGUAUUGCACCAUGUAGCUGUCAUGAUGCCUAUAGAGUUGCCCUAAACCCUGACCUUCUCUCUCUCUCCUUUUCCGAUCCUUCUCUCUUGUUGCUGCUUCGAUAAUCACUAUAUUUUCAUAUUCGCUUACAGAAAAUAUUAUUGGAUGUGGCCCACGUGAUAUAUUCAAGGCAAUCCAUAAAGAUACGGUCAAUCUAUUUAAGUCGAUUUAUAAAGAUAUUUUAGAUCUUACGGUUAUGAUGUAUCUGGACACGUCCUUGAUGGACGGACGUGAUUUAACAUCCUUACAUUAAGUUAUAUAUAAAUAUGUAACAUACGGGAGUCCCGGUCUAACCCUAAUCCAAUUGUCUGUGACGGCUCCAUCUCCGGGGAUAAGGGAAUUAGACUCGAAACGUCCCGUCUUCUUGCAGAUCACGAACGAGGACUAACUACGAGAAAGAAUCACCGCUUACAAAUCAGGUACAGAAAUCGAAAUCAUGGCAGAAGGUACAAUCUAGUUUCUUAUAAAGUUUCUAACAAAUAUAGCUACUUGGGUUGUGUAGAUUUUACAAGAUUUCAUCAGAUCUUUACAAAUAAUAAUUAUCAUAAUUAUUAUUGUAAUUAUUUACUUCCUCUUUUUGCCUUUGAUAGUCAUCUCUCUCAAUUUGAUAGGAACAAAUUUGUUUACAGAAAAUUUUACAAGAUUUUGUAAGAUCUUGAUGGGAUUGAUGUCUCUUAUACUACUAUCUAUUUUCCUGCCAAUAAAAUAUUUAAAAUUAAUUAGUAGCCAACUUGCAUAACCAUGAUGAUUACCCAAUAGUUCAUUUUGCCUUCAUCUUGCUCUUUGUGAAUAGUUUCAAAACUAUAAAUGCUCCUAACUAUUUCGUAUAAUACAUAUUUAAAUCCCUUUGCAACCAAAAAGUAAAUUCUUAUCUUAUUAAUGCAAUAUCUGAUACUCAUUGUUUGGUGGUUGAUACCCGAGACCCAAGAUCGAAUCCUAAUUGAUAUUGGAUUUUAUUGGGUUUAUUAUGAUUUAAAACUUAUUAAAGCCUCUUGAGAGCCCAAUAAUUGUUAAUGGGCCGCUUGGGGAGCCCAACUAAAAUUUUCAUGUGAGAUAUUUAGUCCCAUAUUGGAAACUAAAAAGGUGUUUGUGGUUUUUAUAUAUUGCUUUAUUCUCAAGCUAGUUGCUGGAAAGAAAAUGAGAGUAAUGCUCUCGUUUAUAUACACGCACGCACGGGAUGAGCCCGAGCUGAGCGGGGCGGGGUGCGACACGCGCGGUCCAUACACCCGAUUUAUUUUAUUUUGUCAGUUUUAUCUUUAUUUUAAUACUUAUCUCUUUACUAAUCCUAAUCCUUAUCUUUAUCCGUAUAAUCUUAAACUUAUCUUGUUAUACACGGAUUUGACGCGUUGAAGCAAGAUUCUUACAUAGGUUAUAAAUAUGGGGCAAGAUUACACGAGUUAAAUAAUAACUCGAGCAUACCUAAAGCCUCUCGUCUUUUUCUAUUUUCUGGAUUUUCACCGAUUUUUCUUUUGCUGGAUCUGAAGCUGAUUGAGUUCAUCUUGCGCCACCUUGGAAGCGUGCAGACGAGGUGGAACGUGGUCGUUGUAUCGCUAGAAGUAAUUGUCGGAAAACCUUGCACGUGGAUGGGCAAUUUCGCUUCUAGGACAGUGCUCUGCACGCCUCGAUCCACAUGCCUUAUCUAAACAUUUUCUUUACCGUAUUUGUUAUUUAAUUUCGUUUCGGGAUUUUCCUAAACCUGUAAUUAAAUUCUUGAAUUAGUUUUUAAAGAAUAUUGUAAUAAAAGAUCAGAAAGUUUUUCCAACAGUUGAUUCACAUUUCCAGCUAAGUUUAUUUCUAAAUGAAAUAAACGAAGCGGGUAGUGUGCUACCUAUCUCU